GUUCAGCAUCUCGCUCCCUGUGUGGUGGGGGCAAACUUUGGGGCUUUGUUGAGUAAACCACUGCAGUUGCUGUAAGGGAGCUGAGCGUGGUGGCCCUCACUGCCCCAGGCUGGGAACAAUUCUGACACUGGGCAUCACAGCCCCUGUGGACAGCACUGGGUCCUGGGAGGAAGGGCUGGAAAGGGGGACAAGGCGGGCUUGCCCCAGCCCUUGUCUAGGCAGAGAAAGCAGACAGCCAGAAAGGGGAUUAACAGGGGGCUCUGAACAAGGGCAGAGGGGACAAAGGGGCUGGGCUGGAGAGCUGGGGGGAGGGGGCCCCAGGUGCCCGCUGUCCUGAGUUAUCUGCACUUUCUCCCAGGUCCUAGUAAUGAAUAACAGCAGUGGAAGCCAUGGGUGCCAUUCACUGCUCUCACGGUAUGUCCGGCUCUAUGCCAAGCAGGCAACUGGCUCAGUUACCCAUCCUGGGAAGCAGGCAAGGGUACCACCUCAUUUGAUAGACGAGAACAGGAAAGCUCAGAGAGAUAAAGUAACUCGUCUGAGUUCCCCAGCAGGAAAGGGGCAAAACGGAAUACCACCCAGGUCUGCCUGGCACGUACCCACCGCUCUCUUGGUGGAGUCAGGGUCGAGGCGGGUGCAGAGUGGCCGGGCAGAGCUCUGAUGGCUUUCUCUGGGGACAGAGGUGGAGGAGAACCAGCCCUGGCCCAGGUAUGCUAUCUGGCCCCAGGAUCGGCUCAUCAGCUUGCAGGUUCACGGGAGUGACCUCAGUGGUGGGGUGUUUUGGUUUCUCUGUUUGUUUGUUUUUUUCCUUUUUCCUUCUAAGAACAACUCAUUUUGGUCAAAUAACUAGAGUAAAAGUGACUGGUGUUGAGAAAUCUCCCCCUCCCCCUUCUCUGGCCCCAGGCAGUGACAUUUGAGGAACUGUCUCCUGGGGCCACAGAGGAUGCUGUUGACCCAGUUCAAAGGGUUGGCUCUUCUCCCUGCCCAGCCCCACCCACUUCCCCUCACCACCUCCCUCACCUGCCAAGCUUGGGCAGCCUCCCACCGGGGACUGAGGUCCCGCCCCAGCGGCCGAGCUGAGCCCCUCUCGGAGAGGGCAGAGCAGCACAGUGUGGGGAGAGAAGCUAAAUUCUCCCCUCUCAUCCCACCUGCGCAAAGAAGGAGACCGGGGAUGUACCAGGCUGCAGGCUCCAGCGCAGAGAAGGAGAAGACGGAGGCGGUGGUGAUGUCAACCAAGGAAUUAAGUAAGCAGAGGAGCUGAUAACACUGCCCGACAAGCCCUGCUGUGGGCAAGGUGACUCAUCAGAGACGGGCCCCACAUCACAGGCCCCAGGGGCGCCGCGUACUGUUGUCCAAGUUGAGAACUGUACAACUGGAGGGGGCACCAUUCACCGUCCAACGCAUGUGCCAGACCGCAUGGCUGUACCUGAUGGCCCCGCCCCUUCUCAUUUCUAAAUUACUUCUCACUCCCCUCCUCCGCCUAGAAUGAUCUAUUUAGCUUGCCCUUGAUAAGUUUGUCUUCACACCAAACUUUCCCCCAUAAACAUAAACUUCCUCCUCUACUGCCUGACUCCUUUUGUUCAUUCGUUCAUUCCACAAAAAAUUGUUGAGUUUGUGCCAGGUACUGUUCUAGGCAAGUGAACCAGACAGACCCUCCCUGAGCUCAUGGAGCUCACAUCUAGGGGGUGCUGGGUUGGAGGGGUGGAAUAAAUAAAUAAUUUGUGACAUAAAACUGC
rnacentral:lncRNA from 1 species